GUUUGUUUACAUAACUUUCUCCGACUUUCUAGGACGUGUUUUAUUUUAUGCCACUUCUUUUUCUGCCUCAUUUUGUCCACCACACUUUUAACGUCGUGCAUGAGUGCACAAAGACUGGCGCCAGAACCACGACUCAGUCCAACGCCGAACCCUGAAGACGUCACAUCCACUACAGCGUGAGAGCCAACGUGAGGGAGCAACGUUGGCUUAAGAAUUGGACGGUUUUGACCGGUUUUUGCAGGAGGAAAUUGCUGCCAUCCGUCUGCAGAUAGGCCGUCCUCCGGCAGACCCGCUGAUCCCCCGAUGAUAACGGCGGCUGGAUGCCAAGUGAUGUACAUUAUUGAUGGCCACAUUUUACAGUCUCAGCAGG